UACGGAGGAUGCGAGCGUUAUCCGGAUUUAUUGGGUUUAAAGGGUGCGUAGGCGGGUUAUCAAGUCAGCGGUAAAAUCGUGGAGCUCAACUCCAUCCAGCCGUUGAAACUGAUGAUCUUGAGUGGGCGAGAAGUAUGCGGAAUGCGCGGUGUAGCGGUGAAAUGCAUAGAUAUCGCGCAGAACUCCGAUUGCGAAGGCAGCAUGCCGGCUCCACACUGACGCUGAGGCGCGAAAGUGCGGGUAUCGAACAGG
rnacentral:rRNA from 1 species